rnacentral:rRNA from 1 species
ACGAACGCUGGCGGCACGCUUAACACAUGCAAGUCGAACGAGAGAAGAGAAGCUUGCUUUUCUGAUCUAGUGGCGGACGGGUGAGUAACACGUGAGCAAUCUGCCUUUCAGAGGGGGAUACCGAUUGGAAACGAUCGUUAAUACCGCAUAACAUAAUUGAACCGCAUGAUUUGAUUAUCAAAGAUUUAUCGCUGAAAGAUGAGCUCGCGUCUGAUUAGCUAGUUGGUAAGGUAACGGCUUACCAAGGCGACGAUCAGUAGCCGGACUGAGAGGUUGAUCGGCCACAUUGGGACUGAGACACGGCCCAGACUCCUACGGGAGGCAGCAGUGGGGAAUAUUGCACAAUGGAGGAAACUCUGAUGCAGCGAUGCCGCGUGAGGGAAGAAGGUUUUAGGAUUGUAAACCUCUGUCUUCAGGGACGAAAAAAGACGGUACCUGAGGAGGAAGCUCCGGCUAACUACGUGCCAGCAGCCGCGGUAAUACGUAGGGAGCGAGCGUUGUCCGGAAUUACUGGGUGUAAAGGGAGCGUAGGCGGGAUCGCAAGUCAGAUGUGAAAACUAUGGGCUUAACCCAUAAACUGCAUUUGAAACUGUGGUUCUUGAGUGAAGUAGAGGUAAGCGGAAUUCCUAGUGUAGCGGUGAAAUGCGUAGAUAUUAGGAGGAACAUCAGUGGCGAAGGCGGCUUACUGGGCUUUAACUGACGCUGAGGCUCGAAAGCGUGGGGAGCAAACAGGAUUAGAUACCCUGGUAGUCCACGCCGUAAACGAUGAUUACUAGGUGUGGGGGGACUGACCCCUUCCGUGCCGCAGCAAACGCAAUAAGUAAUCCACCUGGGGAGUACGACCGCAAGGUUGAAACUCAAAGGAAUUGACGGGGGCCCGCACAAGCGGUGGAGCAUGUGGUUUAAUUCGAAGCAACGCGAAGAACCUUACCAGGUCUUGACAUCCUUUGACCACUCUAGAGAUAGAGCUUCCCCUUCGGGGGCAAAGUGACAGGUGGUGCAUGGUUGUCGUCAGCUCGUGUCGUGAGAUGUUGGGUUAAGUCCCGCAACGAGCGCAACCCUUACUGUUAGUUGCUACGCAAGAGCACUCUAGCAGGACUGCCGUUGACAAAACGGAGGAAGGUGGGGAUGACGUCAAAUCAUCAUGCCCCUUAUGACCUGGGCCUCACACGUACUACAAUGGCUGUCAACAGAGGGAAGCAAAGCCGCGAGGUGGAGCAAACCCCUAAAAGCAGUCUUAGUUCGGAUUGUAGGCUGCAACCCGCCUACAUGAAGUCGGAAUUGCUAGUAAUCGCAGAUCAGCAUGCUGCGGUGAAUACGUUCCCGGGCCUUGUACACACCGCCCGUCACGCCAUGGGAGUCGGUAACACCCGAAGCCUGUAGUCUAACCGCAAGGAGGACGCAGUCGAAGGUGGGAUUGAUGACUGGGGUG